rnacentral:rRNA from 1 species
AGCCUGAACGCUGGCGGCGUGGCUAAGACAUGCAAGUCGUACGGUGUAGCAAUACACAGUGGCGAACGGGUGAGUAAUGAAUCGCUAAUGUGCCCCCGGACUCUGGGAUAGCUGACCGAAAGGUCAGGUAAUACCAGAUGACAUAACCUUUCCGCAUGGUGAGGUUCUCAAAGGUCCGCCGGUCUGGGAGCAGGCCGAUUUUGUAUCAGCUAGUUGGUGAGGUAACGGCUCACCAAGGCGACGACGCAUAGCCGGACUGAGAGGUUGGCCGGCCACAUUGGGACUGAGACACUGCCCAGACUCCGUACGGGGGGCUGCAGUAACGAAUCUUCCGCAAUACAACGAAGUGUGAGUGGAGCGACGCCGCGUGUGGACGAAGUCCUUGGGAUGUAAACCAUGUACGAGGGUAAGAAAGUUCUGACUUCCUACCCCGAAGAGGAACGCGAACCGGACUAACCUCGUACGUCGCC